UACGGGGGGGGCAAGCGUUGCUCGGGAUCACUGGGCGUAAAGGGUGCGUAGGCGGGUCUUUAAGUCAGGGGUGAAAUCCUGGAGCUCAACUCCAGAACUGCCUUUGAUACUGAAGAUCUUGAGUUCGGGAGAGGUGAGUGGAACUGCGAGUGUAGAGGUGAAAUUCGUAGAUAUUCGGAAGAACACCAGUGGCGAAGGCGGCUCACUGGUCCGGUACUGACGCUGAUGUGCGAAAGCGUGGGGAGCAAACAGG
rnacentral:rRNA from 1 species